GGUGCAUCCAAGUUAAAAUCCUGCAUAAAUGAAUAAUUUAAUGUUAGAUCUGUCCAGUCAAAAUAAGAAAGAUGGAACUAAUAAGAAAAGCAAAGGUAACUCAUUCACUUUCAAGCUCCACCUCAUCCUAUGAGCUUUGUUGGAAAGACUCCAAUGGUAUGUGUUAGAAGUUAGAACGUGUACCGUUACACUUAUAUACUAAAUAUUUUACAGUUCUCAUUCUAAUUUAUUCUCCUAGGUUCCACUAAUACUAAUAUUUCAGAAAACUCAGAAACUACUAUAGA